rnacentral:rRNA from 1 species
CGGCGAGUGAAGCAGCAAUAGCUCAAAUUUGAAAUCUGGCGUCUUCGACGUCCGAGUUGUAAUUUGUAGAGGAUGCUUCUGAGUGGCCACCGACCUAAGUUCCUUGGAACAGGACGUCAUAGAGGGUGAGAAUCCCGUAUGCGGUCGGAAAGGCGCUCUAUACGUAGCUCCUUCGACGAGUCGAGUUGUUUGGGAAUGCAGCUCUAAAUGGGAGGUAAAUUUCUUCUAAAGCUAAAUAUUGGCCAGAGACCGAUAGCGCACAAGUAGAGUGAUCGAAAGAUGAAAAGCACUUUGGAAAGAGAGUUAAAAAGCACGUGAAAUUGUUAAAAGGGAAGGGAUUGCAACCAGACUUGCUCGCGGUGUUCCGCCGGUCUUCUGACCGGUCUACUCGCCGCGUUGCAGGCCAGCAUCGUCUGGUGCCGCUGGAUAAGACUUGAGGAAUGUAGCUCCCUCGGGAGUGUUAUAGCCUCUUGUGAUGCAGCGAGCGCCGGGCGAGGUCCGCGCUUCGGCUAGGAUGCUGGCGUAAUGGUCGUAAUCCGCCCGUCUUGAAACACGGACCAAGGAGUCUAACAUCUAUGCGAGUGUUCGGGUGUCAAACCCCUACGCGUAAUGAAAGUGAACGGAGGUGAGAACCGCAAGGUGCAUCAUCGACCGAUCCUGAUGUCUUCGGAUGGAUUUGAGUAAGAGCAUAGCUGUUGGGACCCGAAAGAUGGUGAACUAUGCCUGAAUAGGGUGAAGCCAGAGGAAACUCUGGUGGAGGCUCGCAGCGGUUCUGACGUGCAAAUCGAUCGUCAAAUUUGGGUAUAGGGGCGAAAG